rnacentral:lncRNA from 1 species
AUGCUGCCCCCACCGGGGCCCGCAGAGGUCGCACAGCUGGUGACAGAGCAGGUCCCGAAGCCUGGGCCUCCUCUUCCAGGAAGCUCCCCACCCCGUAGCUCCCGGCCAGCCCCACCCGCGUCACGCCGGUACCGACGGGUCUGGGGUUUAUGGCCCGUGCACCUGCUUCCUCAUCAGCACCCGGGAGGGCCCAGGGCUCAGGGAGGGCAAGGUCACACAGCAAGGACGGCCUCACUGGGGGCGACAGUCCUCAGUCGCGGGACGGAGCCCCCACUCCCGAGAUCCCCGGACUCUCACCAGUCCCCCCAGCCCCUCAGCUGCCCCCCUCCCAGGCGGAGGCUGCCCCACCCACCGCUCCUCCUGUGUGUCCCCAGCAGACCCUGGACCCCGUGGGGGUGUCACGCGCCGUUCAAGACCUCCGCAAGCACGGCUCUGGCUGGCACUUGUAAAGUUUCUCCGGAAGCUUCCGGAUUUCUCAGAACCAACGAGGGUUCCAAUCAGACCCCUCCACUGGAGGCUCAGGGCUUGAGGUUGUGGGAUUUGGAAGCUGGAAACCCAGGGCAGACAGGGAGCCUCUGCUCCCCCAGCUGGGGGUGGGGCAGGAAGGACAGAGACCCCGCGACCUCAGAGACGCCUGGGUGCAGAGCAAGGGAGGCCCCCGCCAGCCCUGAAGGCCCAGCUGGGCCGGGGGGAGACGGGGCGGGGAGUGGAGGACCCGCCUCCCUGCACCCCGAGGAUGACCCGCAGGUGAGCACUUGCCUGCGUCAAGCCCCGCCCCACACGGGACCCCGCCGCACCCGACCUUGGUGUCCCCCCCCCCCCCCCCCCCACCGCGUCCCCAGCCUCACCUGCCGGCUCCGGGCCCCAGUGGCCUCCGAGCCCGGCUCCGGCUCUGUCCACAGGCACCGAGACUCCUGGCGCCGCCCUGCCCACAAGUUGCCAGGGGAGAGGGCCCCGCCUGGGGGAGGCAGGGGCACCCCCUCCUCCCUGGCCCCACCUCAGCUCGGGAAACAAAGUCCAGAGGCGGAGGGAGAAAGAUGA